rnacentral:rRNA from 1 species
UACGUAGGUGGCAAGCGUUGUCCGGAAUUAUUGGGCGUAAAGCGUGCGCAGGCGGUUCGUUGUGUCGGCGGUGAAAGCCCCGGGCUCAACCUGGGAACUGCAUUGGAAACUGGCGGGCUUGAGUGUGGCAGAGGGGGGUGGAAUUCCACGUGUAGCAGUGAAAUGCGUAGAGAUGUGGAGGAACACCGAUGGCGAAGGCAGCCCCCCUGGGCUAACACUGACGCUCAGGCACGAAAGCGUGGGGAGCAAACAGG